UUAAAAAACAAUAUGCGGCAAGAGAAGUGAAUGUGACUUUUUCUAGUCUGUGAAAGGACUAAAGACUCCUUGAAGCUGAAUAUCCACGAAAUAUCCAGAAAACAGUCAUCUUGGAACAUACAACUUGAGUCACUCCACAGUCAAAGAUGCCUGACUGCAGCGUCUGCCUAAUUUACCUGGGGUCAUUUAUGAUUUCAUCCGUUGCCCGUCACUCCAGAAGUUUAACUUUGUGUUGAUGACUUCAAUGACGAUUAAGAAGCUGGUAGCCUCUGUUUGAUAACAGAGAAACGCCUGAAAAUUAACCCAGCCACACCCGCAAGUACUGCCCCUCAACGCUGAAUAGUCCUGUCACUUUCUA